rnacentral:lncRNA from 1 species
UUCUGCUCAUUACAGGCUUUUUUUUUUUUUUUUUUUUGCUCCAUCCUGCUGGAACUGCUUAAUUUGUCUGAACAGUGAAGCAUUCACCGGAUUAGAGCGCCUGCCAGCAUAAUCUGGUAGUCAGGACAACACCAGGGAGAUGGAAACCCCCGUGCAGGUCUCCCAACCAAGCACAACAAGGCCUCUUGCAUUUCAGGGAAGCAUCGUAGUUCUUUCUGAGACCAAAAACCAUCCCAACCAAGUGCUUCCCACCAUCCCAUUAUUGAGCCUGGCACAUUUCCAUCGAUCAGCCUCACGCAAAGAAACUCCAGUGUAGGGGGACAUUUCUCACUGUCUCUAAUCAAAAUCAGCAGAAAGGAGACAGUGAUUUCAUCCCAUUACAAGUGUGAGUUCAAAGGCACCUUUCACUUUGAGUAUCUGCUAGAAGUAGACGUGGCCAACAUUUGUUAGCAGUUAGACUGUGUUGCUUAUCAGAAAAUAAAACAAAAUAGAUUCAUCCUGUUUUCUUCCCUCACCUAAUACAAAUCUAUUGUUUAUUUUGAUUCAAGAAAAGAAACAGUAGAGGAAAGUUCACUUAAAAGUUCACUGACAUUUUUCGCAGAAAUAUUUUCCACUGGAGGUCAACUCCACAUUUCCAGCAGUAAUUUAAUAACCCGAAUCCAUCGUAUUGAAAAUCCCUCUGGACUCCUAACAAACUAGACAGACAUCCAUAGGUCAUUUUAGAAACACUUUGAAGAUAACUCCAGAAUUCACUCUGCACUAUAGAUCCUUGUUGGACAAAUUGUCCCUGAAUCUAUUUAUAUUUGUUUUGUAUUGUUAUGAGAAAGCAUUGGCUUAUCCAGUUAGAAGGGUCUAGCACUGGUCACACAACUGCGCUGAAGUUUGGCAGAGCACAGCAAUACUGCUUGAGAAAAUGAAGGAAUAGAUAGAAAGGCAUCGAGGAAAGAUUUCUUUACUCCCUUUUUUUUUUUUUUUUUUUAGCAGAACUAUACAUUUUAAAAUCACUCAGAAAGCGAAAGAGAUACUAACAAUGGCUUAUCCUGGUCCCAAUGCUUAUCCUCCCUGAAAUGAUGAUCUAUUCAUUUUUUCAGUGUUUUUUGAAUCCUUCAGCGGGCAUACUUUUGUGGUGGAUUUCCUUCUUUUUUAUUAAAAACAAUAUAAAAGAAACUCGGGUUUUCUCAAAAACCUGAUGUACUCAAACCUAAAACAAAGCCCUGCUCAAGGCUGGAUUUGCCAACCUACGGAUUACACUGAGCAGCAGGCAGGCAGAAGCUGGAGUUGAUCUGUGCAUCAAGCAGCCCUGUGCCAUGGAAUGCUUCUUGCUGUGUUGGCCAGGCAGAGCAUCCCAGGUCACUGAGCCACAAAGGACAGCACAAAGUCCAGCUCCAGCCUUGUACUCUGUGACAUGGAAAGAGCAUGAGUGAGGAAAACCCUAAUCUAACCCAUUUUGUUUUUCAAUCAGAGGAUUCAGGCAGGAGUCAAGCACGGGCCAAAAAGGAGAGGAGCAGUUUUCCUCCUCCGUCAUACUGCACCAUUAGUAAGAGUCACAGUUAAUAUUCCUUGUCUGCUCCUGGAGCAGCACACACAUCUCAUAUAUUUUUUCCUAGACCAGAAGAGACCCUAUAAAACAAGCAUUUCCUCUAAAAAACAGCUCCUUGCAUGGCUCCGGAUAAUACGCAGCUGAUGUGAGAUGAUCUGGCUACAGAGCUUGGCUGGAAUAACACUAACAAACCCAGAGUCCAGGCAUCCUCCGGCUGCCCUAGGAAAGCUGUCAGCAGCCAGAGGAAAAUCUGGCAUCUUCAGCUGCUGCCUGACGGGUGUGCGGUGGUCUGUCCAUCCAUCUGCCCAUCUGUCCAUCCAUCCACACAUCCAUCGGUCCCUGCCCGGUGAGGAGAUUCACGCAGGUUGCAUCACGGUGUCUCUGCUCAGCAGGCAAGGACACGUUGGGUUUCUCCAGAGGAAAAACUGGAAGUGUUUAUGUCCCUGGACAGUGUCUGGAAGCACGUGGUGUUUCUGCAGGCUCUGAGGGCCCGGCCUCACAGAAUACUUAGGCACAUGUGUAACUAGAAGUGACGUCCAACAGAGUGCUGCAGACACAGGCGCUUCCAGUUCCAGCAGGAUCCAAGCAGUUUCCAGGAUCCCAACUUUCCAAGAGGUUUAAAUUUGUUAGGUUUUUUGUUUGGUUGGUUGGUUUGUUUUGUUUCGUCCAAGACUCCUUUCUGUCUGCCCGUGCAGCAGCUGGAUUGGACUCCCUGUGGGGCAUGGCAGGUCCUACCCCUCAUGAGGAAAUACAUCCACAAAACAAGGUGAGAGACUUUGCACUGCUGAACACUGCCCAGUUAUUAAUGUGAAAACCAGAAUUAAUUCCAGUCCAAAAAGCUGGGAGGAAAGCAACAACGAUGAUGGGUACCAUCUCAUACCACAGCUAUUUUACAGCAAUUCCACUUUAUGUUCCUUGGCCAGCAGAGCUCCUUGAAUAAUGACAUAGCCAGAUGACACACAAGCAGAAAAGCCUCAAAUGUGUAUAAAUACCAGUUUUCCAGUUCUGAAAGAAAUUUAAUCAUGCAGACUUUCUACCAUAUUUGAGAGAGCCAAAAAGCAGUGAUAGCCCUGAGCUCAUCUUUCUGGUGUUUUCUCCAGCACCAGAGGAAACCAGAACUGUUGUGUUGUGGGGAACCUGACCAUGGAGCACAGCUCCUGAAGACCCAGGGGGAAAACCCCUUAUGAAGACCUGAGGGAAAACCUCUUUAUAAAGGAGAAAUCAAUUACAGUCCUGAUACAAGCAAUAUUGUUUCACCUAACAGUAUCCAGUAUGCACUGCAUUGCAAAUGCUGUCUGGUAAUCAUCUUAUUCGAAGACACAGUGUUUCGCAGCAUAUAAACCAUUUAAUUGCAAUACUGACUCACAUUUGAGCUGCAAAGCUAGGCAUGUUUUCUGAAUGUGCCAAAUAGGCAAAACACCAGCCAGCCUUGGUAUGUAGUUAGAAGAACAUGCUUACACCACACGCUGAAGGAAACAUGAAAGCUGAACUAUUUUUUUUUGCGUGUGCCCUAACAUUUUCUCAUUUAAUGAAUAUUAAAAUGACAGUGUGUGUGAAAAACCCUCAGUGAUUCAUCCAUAGAGUGAAAUUACCAACCACGUGAGAAGAAAUCUGGAAGAGCACCACAGCACGCCUUUGCUCACCUGUAUUUCCUUCUCCUGUUUUAAAAUGCAGACGAUGCCCAAAUAAAUGACAAAUUGAAGCAGACAAGUAUUAAAGUGAAACCAUGGAAGAUCUCCCAUUUCGUUUUGAAUGUCAUCAUAAGAGGAGCUGCAUAGAAACAGUUUGUGAUCUGCACUGACUUAAACUUUGUGCAAGUGGUUUCCAUGCAGAUUAAUGGUCAACACAAAGUUUCUGGGAACCCCACUUCUCACCCACAGCAUUAAUCAUCAUCGGCAAAAUUUUUUAAACUGAACACAUUAAAACUUUCCUUGAUGGAUUUGCAUUUUUGUUCAUGUAGGACAACAUUCACCGUAUUCAUUCAACUAUAUCACAUCUGAUAAACAUACCUUUCCAUCAUACCUUCUGGGCCCUCCUUAAGAAACUACUGAAUCAAUGCCCAGACCUGUGAGUCAUAAAGUACUCCAAGAAAGCUGGUGGGGAAAGGACAGUAGGAAAAGAAUUUACAGCAGCUGAAGCUUGUGGCAGAUCAGUGACUGCAUUACUGUGGUGUGACAUAAACAGAAAAGGUAUUUCCAGUCUUGGAUUUUAUGGCAAAGGAUGGGAGAUUUGACUUAUGAAGGGAGAAUACAAGGGUAAAGCCCCCAGUUACGUACAAUUGCAAGAGCAUAAAUAAUGAGCUGAGGUUAGAAAUGCACAUGGGGAUCCAAACUUCCAAUGAGUUGCUUUAAAAAGUGCAGUUUGCACAUUUGUUGCCAUACAGCCUGGGAUGGCUGGCAGAACAGCAAUGGCUGUCUUCCAGCCCUUCUAGGCAACAAACACAGGGCUUCAGGCAGGUGUGAGCCAGUGGCGGACCUACACCCACUUGCCAGCUGCCUCUGUUUUGAGAGGAUCUGCUCAUAUCAAACAUGAUGUGGUGGUGGUGCUGUUACACAUCUUGGGUUAGCAAAGCCAAUGUGAGGCUUUCCUGCCUCUCCAUCACUCAUUCCUGUCAGAGCAUCUUCAUCUGUUAGCCCAACUGAUGCCUGUUAACCUGGUGCCCCAAAUCCAGACGCACCAGUACAAUCUACAAGUGAAUCCUUGCAAGGCUUCUUAACACAUUGUGACCAGCACCAUAGAAAAGACCUGGCAGGAGCCUUGUGAAGAUAAUAUCCACGCUUCUGGCUGUGAAAAGGUUCACAGAGAAAGACCAAGAUCAAAAUCUCCCCAACUACAUUUCUGCAUAAGGAGGCAGGAGCAUGAGACAGGCCCACAAUAGGGUACGUGGGAUCCCUGCACAAAAACUCAUUGGCCUGAGCCAUUCAGUACUGUGAGGAUCUUCACUGCUGGGAUCUGGUCUGAAGCCUGCCUCUAGGCUUCAGGCUGUCAGAUUCCACUUAAAAAAUGUGUUUGAUUCUCACUUUGUAGAUGUAGCAUCUGUCCCGCUUGUUCUACUGGGAGGAGGGAGGGAGUUGUGUAAUUAAGUGCAAAUAGGGUUCUCAUGAUGCAAUACAGACUCAUAUAAUACUUCCCAGGUGCCACUGUCUCAAGCAACUUGGCAGGAGUUUCCCAGUUGUGAGGCUCGGCUUAAGAAUAGCAGCAAACUUGUGUGGUCCUGCAGAAGCACUCCUUACGUGCGUUGCUCCGAUACUGCACUUGGGAACAGCUGUGCAAGUCCUUGUGUAUGGCCAGGAUGGUGCUCGGAGGGGAAUUUUGGGUUACUUCUUGUGCUUUCCUGUCCCCCUCUUCCCUUACAGCCAGCCUUCACUGAAAAACCAAAUUCUGUAAGUUUAUCAUAGGGUGAUGGUGGUGUCAAGCUGCUGCAAGCAGCUGGUUGGUGUGGUGUUCAAAAAACAGCCUAAGACUUAAAAAAAAACCCCAACAAUACAACAAUAAAAAAGAAAAAAAAACCACCCAACAACAGUAGAAAAAAAACAGUGCAACAACUUUAUAUAAGUAAUCCUUGCAGGAAGCAAAGCGUGGAGAAGUACAGUGAGUUGCAUCCAAAUACAGGAUGGCGAUUUAGGAGAGCUGACUGGUUUGCCAGUUGCAGUCAUGCAAGAAAAUGGGGAGUGAACUGGCACCAGUGCUAUGAGAUGAGGGUUAUGACUUCUGAGCCUUCAGAGACUCUGCAGGCCACGCUGUGAUUUCCAUCCUCCUCAGCACUGCCAUUUCCUCUCUACCAUGACCAUGCUAGUUGGGAUAGCCUUAUUUUCCUAGCAAAUUCUCUGCUGACAGAUUUCAGCUGCUUACCACAAUCUUUGCCUUUUGGCUGGAUCCUGGAAGUGUUUAUACUUUUGGCAAUAGAAGUAGAGAUAGGUGCUAUUUCAUUUAUUUAUUUUAAUAAGUAAAAGUACGAGCCAAUAUCUUUUCUUCAAAAUGAUGGCUCAUCCCAGCCUAUGUUCUCACUGCUGCUGCUCCUGUCUCAGGCAUGGCAGGUGGCACGAUAAAUAGAUAAUACGCUGCACUGUCUGACAUGGAGCUUUAUCAAUCAAAACAAGCCCUGCUUUUUUGCUCAACAGGAAAGUUCAAUCGCUCUCCUCUGGUGGAAUCAGUCAACACAUAAUGCUUUCAGCCCAAGAUAAUGUCAGACUGCAGAUUUGGAUCUGCUCUCUUGCUGCUUCGGGGCUAUUUAUAUCUUUGUGCCUCGAGGGCUUACUAAUUAGCAGCCUUCUUCCACACCCUUUGAUAUCAUUAACGUAAUCUCAGUGUAAGCGACUGCUCUCUGAUGAUAUCUCUGGGGGAGUGGAGAACAGCUGGAACCGUUCUACAUAGCAGAGCUGGAGCACUUCUCCCACAGCAGUGGUUGAAAGACCGCAAUAAUUUUGCUUCUGCAAGCAAAGCCAGCAAAGCACCCUGCCUUGUUCAGAGUGGCUGAGGCUGAUGGGCUAUCACAGAAUCAAUACGGUUGGAAAGGCCAUUAAGAUCAUCUAGAAAGACUAUCAGCCUAUGGUAGAUGUAAUCUCAAGUUGAGCGUAGAACUGGGAGGUACUGAGAAGGUUAGAGUGGGUUUUUCGGGCCAUUGCCAACAUUAUCAGGUAAGUGCCUUUCAACACAAUUCUUCUUCUUCUCUUGCCCUCCCUCACCUGCUUGACUUGUCUUGUUGGUUCUUUUAUAGUCAAAAGGCCCAUAGAGCGUUAGAGGCAAAGUAACAAUGGAACCAGGAGGUGAAAAUCAGGAAUUUGAGACAGCAGCUGAGAGCUCAGUGCUGGAAUUACUCAGCAUUUCCCACACUGUUCAACCCUGUGAGGCCCAGAUUCCCACUUGGGAGAGCUGAGGACAAAUCUAACACUGCUGAAAUCUCAGCUCAGGUAGUUUCUAAUAAUGCAGUGGAUAAGGUUUAUUUAAACCGUAAUUGCUUGCAUUUUUUUUUCCACAUUACUCGCUCUGCUGCCCUAUAAAAUUAGUUAAUUUAAAGGCCUGUCAUUAACUUAGCAACUUGCCCUGCAAAGAACAAAACUGGAGAUGGGAAAAAGUUUUCUCCGUGUUAGAAAUGCACUUCAGACCAGAGCAACAUUGCUGCCUUCCGAUAGCAGCUCCUCCUCACUAAAUGAGACCUUGUAGGAAAACAGGCGGUUUCCAAUAGGUGCUUUGAUAUCUGCCAUUAAUUCCCUGCUCUUGCUUGCAUGGUCUCUUAGCAACUUCCUGCCCUUUGCUCCUUUUUAUUCUUGUUCCUGUUCAAGCACUUCCUUUUGUCGCCAGUCUGUUGCUCCCCUUUAGGCUGCUUUAGAGAAAGAUAAUAAAAUCCUUGUGCAGAUAGAAAGAACCAGCUACAAAUGGCUGUGCGAGUGUAUUUAUGUUUAUAGCACGAAGCAAGAGAACAGGCUGUCCUGGGUUCUGGUUUCCAACUGCAGCGUAAAUCCGUCAGCAAAUAUGUUACAACCCUGGAGAAGGGAGCAGAAACAUAACAGCAGGCACUGCAGGACUCCAGAAGAGUCGUGUUUUACAGGGCUCCAUAUCUCUUAACUCCCCAGAAGUGUGAAAGAUGGAGGCUUUCACCCCAAAUUAAAAGAGCAGCCAUCUUCUGCUCUCUCAUCCUAAAGCAGCUGUUAAUUCAGUAAUGUCAGCCCUCCCAGUCACUCAGGUAGAAGCAUCCAUUUGGUGACUUCCCUUCGCCAGGCUUCAUGCCCGUCCUGUUUAAUGCUCCACGACUCUGUUCCAGGAUGACAAUAAGAUGGGGAGAACUGGCACAGGUGGCUUUGAAGGCUGAGGGAAAAGACGUGGCAAUGCUUUUUAAUUUUUUAUUUCCUUUAAAUGCUUUGUAUGCAGAGCCACGCUAAGUACAAACCCGAUGACAAGCUAAGAGCAUCUUAGAGAGUCUGCCUCAGGAGUACACCCCUGUUCUGGUGGAAGGAGAUGACAGCAACAUGUGCAUAAAAGGCUGGCUGAACUGGAGUCUUAAUGCGAGGUCUCCACAUCUUAAUAGACUUUGAGAUAAAUGGCCUUUUCUUGUCUCCCAUAUGGUUUUGCUUUCCAUCUAACGAGGGAAUCAUAACUCUGGGUGAAGGAAAGGAGCUGUCCGGAGAUGGAGCUGCGAGUGGAGGGAAGAGGAGGUGAAAGAAAAGGAAAAUUUUAAGGGGAAGAGAGACCACGUCUGGAGAAGUCAUUGUGCAGAUGGGGAGUAACAAGAUGAGAAUGAUGCAGGAACUACCCAGCAGCCGAACAGAGCACAGAAUGGCACUGAUACACAUGGCGCAAGGAACUCCAAAGCCAGAAGAUCUGAUGAAGUCUCCAGAUAUCACAUAGCAAACACAGCUGCUGGAUCCUGC